CUCGAUUCUGGCCUGCACUGAACGCUGGCGGGCUUUUUACACAGCGCAAGUCGAACGGCACGGACUUUUAUUCAGCAGAGUGGCGAACGGGUGAGUAAUGUAUCGGAACGUGCCUAGUAGCGGGGGUAACUACGCGAGCGCAGCUAAUACCGCAUACGCCCUUCGGGGGAAAGCGGGGGGACCUUCGGGCCUCGCACUAUUAGAGCGGCCGAUAUCGGAUUAGCUAGCAGUGGUAACGGCUCACUCGGCGACGAUCCGUAGCUGGUUUGAGAGGACGACCAGCCACACUGGGACUGAGACACGGCCCAGACUCCUACGCCGGAGGCAGCAGGUGGGGAAUUUUGACAAUGGGGAAACCUGAUCCAGCCAUCCCGCGUGUGCGAUGAAGGCCUUCGGGGUUGUAAAGCACUUUUGGCAGGGAAAAAGAAAACGGCACGGGAUAAUACCCCGUGCAACUGACGGUACCUGCAGAAUGGCACCGAUAACUACGCCAGCAGCCGCGGUAAUACGUAGGUGCAAGCGUUAACGGAAUUACUGGGCGUAAAGCGUGCGCAGGCGGUUCGGAAAGAAAGAUGUGGAAUCCCAGAGCUUAACUUUGGAACUGCAUUUUUAACUACCGAGCUAGAGUGUGUCAGAGGGAGGUGGAAUUCGUUGGCAAAGAAAUGCGUAGAUAUGCGGAGGAACACCGAUGGCGAAGGCAGCCUCCUGGGAUAACACUGACGCUCAUGCACGAAAGCGUGGGGAGCAAACAGGAUUAGAUACCCUGGUAGUCCACGCCCUAAAACGAUGUCAACUAGCUGUUGGGGCCUUCGGGCUCGGUAGCGCAGUCAACGCGCAAGUUGACCGCCUGGGGAGUACGGUCGCAAGAUUAAAACUCAAAGGAAUUGACGGGGACCCGCACAAGCGGUGGAUGAUGAUGUGGAUUAAUUCGAUGCAACGCGAAAACCUUACUCUUACCCUUGAUGCUGGAAUCCCGAAGAGAUUUGGGAGUGCUCGCAAGAGAACCGGAACACAGGUGCUGCAUGGCUGUCGUCAGCUCGUGUCGUGAGAUGUUGGGUUAAGUCCCGCAACGAGCGCAACCCUUGUCAUUAGUUGCUACGAAAGGGCACUCUAAUGAGACUGCCGGUGACAAACCGAGGAAGGUGGGAUGACGUCAAGUCCUCAUGGCCUCGCGGGCAGGGUCGGCACGUCAGCACAGUUGUCGGCACAGAUAGUCGCCAACCCGCGCGAGAGGGGGAGCCAAUCCCAGAAACCCGAUCGUAGGGUCCGGAUCGCAGUCUGCAACCUGACUGCGUGAAGUCGGAAUCAAUCGCGGAUCAGCAUGUCGCGGUGAAUACGUUCCCGGCACCAUACACGCCGCCCGUCACACCAUGGAGUGGGUUUUACCAGAAGUAGUUAGCCUAACCGUAAGGAGGGCGAUUACCACGGUAGGAUUCAUGACUGGGGUGAAGUCAACAAGGUAG
rnacentral:rRNA from 1 species